UAACCUCUGACGAGAACCGUGAAUGUUA
rnacentral:ncRNA from 1 species